rnacentral:rRNA from 1 species
AUUGAUCCUGGCUCAGGACGAACGCUGGCGGCGUGCCUAAUAUUUCAAGCAGAGACGAACCUUUAAAAGCUUGCUUUUUGAGGUUAGCGGCGGACGGGUGAGUGGGGCGUGGGCAACCUACCUGUAAGACUGGGAUAACUUCGGGAAACCGGAGCUAAUACCGGAUAAUUCUUUUCUACGCCUGUAGAAGCGCUGAAAGACGGCCUCCGCUGUCACUGACAGAUGAGAGCGCGGGGGGUUACCUAAUUGUUUUUUUGGGAGAGCGGCAGCAGCCGCCCGCCGCACCCACGUUGAAGCCCGCCCCCCCCCGGGGGGGGGGCGGGGCACACACCUCACGGCCGGAGAUGCGUCGGCGAGUGCGCGGAGCCCGGGGACGGGGCGCAGGCGGCCACGGGCCGGGGGGAGGCACGCGGGGAGGGGCGGCGGGGCGCUCCGCGGCCCGGCGGGGGGGGGGGGCGACGAGCGCCGC